rnacentral:lncRNA from 1 species
UCCUCCAUAAUAUAUCCCAUGUCCCCAUGCAACAGAUAUAUAAUCAUGGCAUACAUCAUACAGAAUCAGAUCGUCAUGCUUUUCAGUCAAAAUUAACCCUAGGGGUAUAAUGGUAAUUUUGCACCUAGGGGUAUAGCAGUAAUUUUCCAUACAUAGGGGUAUUAUAGUAAUUUAGCUACUUUUAGGGUUUUCAUGCAUAUCCUAACUAUUUACAUACUAUCAGAACACUUACCGCGCAUACUUACCGAAUUGGGCCCAUUGGCCCAUGAACCCGAUCUUUGGCCCAUUAAGCCCAAAUUAUCAAAAUGUACGAAAUCGCGCGUACUGCAGUUUAUUACUUUAGAUUACCAAAUAUACAAACCCAACUAUCUUACGAGCAUUCGCACACUCGCAAAUUCCUAAAAUACCGACUUUUCGGCAUU